GCGGAUGUGGCGGAAUGGCAGACGCAACAGAUUCAAAAUCUGUCGCUUGCAAGAGCGUGAGGGUUCGAGUCCCUCUAUCCGCA
rnacentral:tRNA from 1 species